rnacentral:rRNA from 1 species
UGGCGACCAUAGCAAGGUGGCCCCACUCCUUCCCAUUCCGAACAGGACAGUGAAACGCCUUAGCGUCGAUGAUAGUCGGUUGUAUUUCCGGUGAAAGUA